rnacentral:lncRNA from 1 species
UUCGGGAUUUCUUGAGAUUUGACUGACUUAGUUAUGUCCUUUUUAUCUGUAGGGCUGCGUGGGAAUGCCUCUGCUUUUUCAUUACAGGGGAAAAAAGUCUGGCUCGGGGCAUUUGGCCAGGUAAAAAAAAAGUGUCUUUAUUGGCAAAAUCGAGAAUAGGAGAUUCAUUUCUGAGAGGGAAGGAAGAUUCAUAGCGGCGAACUGAAGAUAAAAAUGUCUUUUGAUGGAACCCGAUGGCUUAGGUGGCGUGAUCUUCGGAGGCAUUUGGGAACUGAAGAUUCGUUGAUGGAGCCCAGACGGAGAGAGCCAAGCUCGAGAACGAGAGAAUGGUGCUUCUCAUGCCCCAGAAGGAGCUCCAAUUUGCUCCCUCUUCAACAGCAGCAGCAGCAUUCAUCCAACAAAAGGAGCGGCGGCAGCGAUGAGGGUUGAAAGGCGAAGGAUUCUGAAAGAAACUAAAAGCAAAAACUCCGGCUCACGCAAAGCCUUCGCCCCCAAUUCAAAAAUUGUUUCGAUUGUGUCUUUCGUUCGACCUCCGUGAUCGGGACGACGUACGGUGGCGCCGGCAGCGUGCGACCGGACGGCGGCUCUGCAACCCAGAAGAAAGCUCCGACCACCAACCGAACCGUGGCUGAUUCGAAGGUGGAGACGCUGUGUGACUUGCUCGAUGGAGGAUUGAUAGCUUUGGACCCUAUUCUUACAAAAAAAUUCGAGUCUUUCGAAAUGGGCAUUGGGAAUUAGUCGGUACUCCAUCGAUCAGUUAAAUUUUGCUCUCUUUAUGCUUGUUUUUUUGGGAUACACUUAUUGGUGGAGAGGAAUCACAACAUGUGUGUCCGCUUGCCAUGAGUUAUGGAAAAGAACAACUACCUCUCGCUCAAUUCGUAGUGCAUGCUGGC